rnacentral:rRNA from 1 species
GAGUUGUAAUUUGCAGAGGAAGCUUUAGGCGCGGCACCUUCUGAGUCCCCUGGAACGGGGCGCCAUAGAGGGUGAGAGCCCCGUAUAGUUGGAUGCCUAGCCUGUGUAAAGCUCCUUCGACGAGUCGAGUAGUUUGGGAAUGCUGCUCAAAAUGGGAGGUAAAUUUCUUCUAAAGCUAAAUACCGGCCAGAGACCGAUAGCGCACAAGUAGAGUGAUCGAAAGAUGAAAAGCACUUUGAAAAGAGGGUUAAAAAGCACGUGAAAUUGUUGAAAGGGAAGCGCUUGUGACCAGACUUGCGCCGGGCUGAUCAUCCGGUGUUCUCACCGGUGCACUCGGCCCGGCACAGGCCAGCAUCGGUUCUCGCGGGGGGAUAAAGGUCCCGGGAACGUAGCUCCUCCGGGAGUGUUAUAGCCCGGGGCGUAAUGCCCUCGCGGGGACCGAGGUUCGCGCAUCUGCAAGGAUGCUGGCGUAAUGGUCAUCAGCGACCCGUCUUGAAACACGGACCAAGGAGUCAAGGUUUUGCGCGAGUGUUUGGGUGUCAAACCCGCACGCGUAAUGAAAGUGAACGUAGGUGAGAGCUUCGGCGCAUCAUCGACCGAUCCUGAUGUUUUCGGAUGGAUUUGAGUAGGAGCGUUAAGCCUUGGACCCGAAAGAUGGUGAACUAUGCUUGGAUAGGGUGAAGCCAGAGGAAACUCUGGUGGAGGCUCGCAGCGGUUCUGACGUGCAAAUCGAUCGUCAAAUCUGAGCAUGGGG